UUUAUUUUAUUUCUUCUUUUAUUAUAGUUUCUUAGCUUUCAGUUAUUUCAAUUCGCAUGGAGAAGAAAAUAAAUUCACGUGAGAUUUUUUAAAACCGGACACGAAUUUUUACAACUAAAAUAUUGCAAACAUAUGCAAAUGUGCGUGAUGACACUCUCAACUGGGUUGCAUCAGAUUCUAGUUUGCCUUAACUGCAACUUAUUCCACGAUGUAUAAAUUAUCUCUUAAUAUCGAAAAAUAUUGUUUGGUUUUCCUUUGUACAAAAACAAAAUCCAAUUGCAGUGUCAAGGAACAUUAAUUUUAAGUCUACUGAAUUUAUUCCAAUUAAUUAAAUUUUGAAAUUUUGAAUUUCAAAAAUUCGAAAUUCAUAAUGAAAAUUAAUUCACAAGAAGACAAUUUUUUAUAAUACAAAAUACGAGAAGAAUGGCAAAUUUUUGGUUUUCAAUCGUGGAGAAAAAUGAGAGUAAACAAUUUAUAGAAAAAUGUAUAGAAUACAGAUUUCCACGUCGAGAAAAGAAGAAAUUUUAUACAAUAGACGUCUUUCUGAUUAAAAAUAUUUUAUUCAAGAAAAUUUUCAAAGAUAAUAGAAAAUUUGAAUUAUAAAAAAAAAAUAACGUAGAAAGCAUAAAAUCCCCACUUUUAUUCUAAUAAAUGAUGAGAAUGGAAGGGAUCAGGUGAAGGGGGCUUUGUAAAAACCUCGGAAUCACCGGAAGAUUCUUAGUCUCUACCCGAGAGGCUGACAGUGUGAAUUCAUUCAAAAUUGCGGAAUUGAUUUGAUGAGAAGUUUUUGCAAAAUUAAAUUCAAUUGGAAAUUUAUCAGUGACUCUUGACACGGAAAGUGAUUAAUUAAUGCGAAUUUAAUUUUUUACGUAUAUUGAGAUAAUAACUAUUCAAAAAUUUCGCAUUCUUAUGUGUCCAUGAG